CCCUUAGAUGUUCUGGGCUGCACACGUGCUACACUGGCAGGUUCAGCGAGCUUCAUGCCCUGAUCUGAAAGGAAUGGGAAAUCUUUUCAAAACCUGCCGUGCUUGGGAUAGAUGUUUGCAAUUAUUCAUCUUCAACGAGGAUUGCCUUGUAAGCGCACGUCAUCAGCGUGCAUUGAAUACGACCCUGUAUUCUGUACACACCGCCCGUCGCUCCUACCGAUUGAAGUUUUCGGUGAGUUGACAGGAGGAUUUUUUUGAAACUGGUUCGCCAGUGGAUUUUAGAUCCAAAUGCCAAUGAAUCGAUGGCUUUAGAGGAAGGAGAAGUCGUAACA
rnacentral:rRNA from 1 species